GAUGAACGCUGACAGAAUGCUUAACACAUGCAAGUCAACUUGAACUUCGGUUUGGGUGGCGGACGGGUGAGUAACGCGUAAAGAACUUGCCUCACAGAUAGGGACAACAUUUGGAAACGAAUGCUAAUACCUGAUAUUAUGAUUAUAUGGCAUCGUAUAAUUAUGAAAGCUAUAUGCGCUGUGAGAGAGCUCUGCGUCCCAUUAGCUAGUUGGAGAGGUAACGGCUCACCAAGGCGAUGAUGGGUAGCCGGCCUGAGAGGGUGAUCGGCCACAAGGGGACUGAGACACGGCCCUUACUCCUACGGGAGGCAGCAGUGGGGAAUAUUGGACAAUGGACCAAGAGUCUGAUCCAGCAAUUCUGUGUGCACGAUGAAGUUUUUCGGAAUGUAAAGUGCUUUCAGUUGGGAAGAAAAAAAUGACGGUACCAACAGAAGAAGUGACGGCUAAAUACGUG
rnacentral:rRNA from 1 species